rnacentral:rRNA from 1 species
AUGCACGCUGGCGGCGUGCCUCAUACAUGCACGUCGAGCGAACAGACGAGGAGCUUGCUCCUCUGACGUUAGCGGCGGACGGGUGAGUAACACGUGGAUAACCUACCUAUAAGACUGGGAUAACUUCGGGAAACCGGAGCUAAUACCGGAUAAUAUAUUGAACCGCAUGGUUCAAUAGUGAAAGACGGUUUUGCUGUCACUUAUAGAUGGAUCCGCGCCGCAUUAGCUAGUUGGUAAGGUAACGGCUUACCAAGGCAACGAUGCGUAGCCGACCUGAGAGGGUGAUCGGCCACACUGGAACUGAGACACGGUCCAGACUCCUACGGGAGGCAGCAGUAGGGAAUCUUCCGCAAUGGGCGAAAGCCUGACGGAGCAACGCCGCGUGAGUGAUGAAGGUCUUCGGAUCGUAAAACUCUGUUAUUAGGGAAGAACAAAUGUGUAAGUAACUAUGCACGUCUUGACGGUACCUAAUCAGAAAGCCACGGCUAACUACGUG